rnacentral:rRNA from 1 species
GAUGAACGCUGGCGGCGUGCCUAAUACAUGCAAGUCGAGCGAACAGACGAGGAGCUUGCUCCUCUGACGUUAGCGGCGGACGGGUGAGUAACACGUGGAUAAACUACCUAUAAGACUGGGAUAACUUCGGGAAACCGGAGCUAAUACCGGAUAAUAUAUUGAACCGCAUUGUUCAAUAGUGAAAGACGGUUUUGCUGUCACUUAUAGAUGGAUCCGCGCCGCAUUAGCUAGUUGGUAAGGUAACGGAUUACCAAGGCAACGAUGCGUAGCCGACCUGAGAGGGUGAUCGGACACACGGUAACUGAGACACGGUCCAGACUCCUACGGUGGGCAGCAGUAGGGAAUCUUCCGCGAUGGGCGAAAGCUUGACGGAGCAACACCGCGUGAGUGAUGAAGGUGUUCGGAUCGUAAAACUCUGUUAUCAGGGAGGAACAAAUGUGUAAGUAACUAUGCACGUCUUGACGGUACCUAAUCAGAAAGCCACGGCUAACUCCGUG